UUCCUGCAUCAGGCAGAGCACACAACGCCCCGCGGCACAACGGCCUGCUGCCUAUUUUUACACCAGUCGAUGGGAAAUGCUUGAUGUUAAUCAACAUGGCGUUCAACCCUGCUCUCGAUCUUCGCUGAGAGCAUUUCCAGCCAUUAUAAUGUUUUACUCGCUUGCUUUUUUAUGUAUAAAUAAGGAGCAUCUGUGAGGUCUGACGGAGGGAGUAAGCUGUGUGGCCAGGUUAUGUUUGACAGCUUCUGGACGUAGGCCUAUGUUGAGCUUUUAUGCUACGCCUACACCACACAAAGAAUAGACAAUUACCAUUUCCAAAAUUCCUUUAGUAACUCCUACUUCAACUGUUAAACUACGUAGACCUACAAAUAUUAUCAAGGCAAAUCUUACCCGAAUUACUAUGACCUUAUUUUUAGUCUUUUUAAACGUGUAAAAAUGUGCAGGUCUACACCUGUGCAGCGUACCCAGGCCUAUACCAUCUAUUGAACUCCAAUACUUGGGUAGGGUAAUUAGCACUUGCUUCAAAUGCGCUCCCGUUGUGACUACCGGUUUUUCCUGAAGAUGUGCCCCGGGCGCAUCAGAGCGAAAGAGUCCAAAUGCAACAGGUUGGAAGAGCAUUUGUGUGCUGCUGGUAGUCGUGUAGGGAGCGCUUCUCGGGUGAUAUGCUUCAGUGGGCGAGCUUUCCGUUUGAUCAACUGUUACUGUAUGAUCUAAACCAGGAUCGAGGGUGAUCUGCUUUUUAAGAAUCCAUUUUUCUCUUCAAUCUCUUGACACCUUUUUCAUGUUAUAAUGUAGUGUAAGAGAGGGAGGGAGAGGGAAAACAAAGAGAGCUCUCCUGAUGGGCGUGUGUCUCCUCCGUGUCUCAACACGGUGUGUUACGAGUAAAGAAACCACCACACUCACCUUUAUCGACUAGAUUACAGACGGAACUCUAUUAUGUCCUAAUCUGUAAGUGACUCGCAAUCAAUGAAAUACAUUCAAAGCCGAAGCAUUUGACCGCGUUUACAGCACCAGGAUCUGGACCUUUCUGCUACUCCUCCACCACCAUUAUUACAGUGGACCUGACAUCCUUUCGGACUUUAUUGUUGCCCAUACAGCUGGAAACUUUGCCUGCAAAUUUAAAAGUUCAUGAAUUUCAGUCAUUGUUUCUGGUAGUGUGUGCAACAACUCAAGCUCCCAAAGAGUUGCACCCGAUAGGUGGCCACUCAACUCAACUCAAAACCAUGGAAGUUUACCCCCUGGUGUUAUUAAGCGUGAACCGAGUUAGGCCUAUGAGAUGGCUCAUUCGACUUGGUACUAUUGAUGAAACCCAUAGCUACACUUAACAAAUAUCAUAUGGUAGAACUUCACUUUGUAUGUUACGCUAUAAUGCAAAACCAGUCCCACACCCACUAUAGAUGGUGAUUGUUAUGACAUGCGGUUGGCGAGUCCAUUGUGUCUGAAGAGGAUCCUUCUCCACUGGAUCUUCCCACUGACACAGUGAAUAUUGUUGUUACUUUUGCCUGUGUACUUGUCACAAGAGCGGCGGAAGGUAUAACUAGUGGCGGUGAUGGUGGUGGUGGUGAUAUUGUCGCAUGCAGGGUACUGCCAGUACUAUGUCAGGUAUGCUGGUUAACCAGUUCAACGCUCUCCUUCUGCUUCUACUGGGAGGAAGGCCUAUUGGGGUGUGACCUUAAGUCCAUCAUAGCAAUGGGUUAUUAAACAUGUAUAAACAAACAGUGCAGUGAAUGGCAUGGGAUUUAUCUGCAAUUGGAUUCUUUCGAGAUAAUCUGAACAUGCAUGAAAGCAUUGUCAUAUUGAUUGUA